GUCAAUAGUGCUAGAACAAUUCUGUUUUAGAGGGACUUAAAACAAGAAUUAGAUUGUGUGGUUUAAAUCUGAAGAGUAGCUGAACUUGUCCAGUCAGCUAUAAUUUAUCUCAAGGUUAGAUCUGGAGAAGUGGAUGCUGUUCUUAACAGCUAUCCAGUAAUUACCUGUUUCUGACAAAGAAAGUAUGGAGCCAUCUAAAUACUUCUUAUAUGCUUACAGAAUGUAUCUUGCAUCCCUGUAUGGAGGGUAGUGAGUAGCUGAAAGCCACAGAAAGAGUAACCUCUCAUAUCAAAGAAAAUUCAGCAAGGGUUUGUAAAGGAAAGAGGAGAAGAGUUGGUCAUAUCCAGAUUGCUGAUCUCUUAAAGGAAGUGAUCCCCGAAGUCUACGGGACCCCCAGUUACCUGGCCCCUGAGAUCAUCGAGAGCUGCAUGAAUGAGGACCAUCCGGGCUACGGGAAGGAAGUGGACAUGUGAGUGCGCCGGGGGAGGAGGAUCACCUGCCUGGGCUGGGUGAGGGAGGAAGCAGGCAGGGCGGGGUCGGUGCCCCUGGCAAUGAGUAAGUGGCCUUGGGCCCUCUCACGUCCAGUUGGAGCACUGGCGUCAUCAUGUACACGCUACUGGCUGGCUCCCCACCUUUCUGCCACCGGAAGCAGAUGCUGGUGCUAAGGAUGAUCAUAAGCAGCAACUACCAGUUUGGAUCGCCCGAGUGGGACGAUUACUUGGACACCGUGAAGGACCUGGUGAGAGGCGAGGCCGACUGGCUCCUGGGCUCAGGGCCGCGAUGCCAGGCUCCCUUGCCCAGGGAGGCCCCACCUCUCCUGACAUGCUGGAGGGGACCUGCCUUAACGUUCUCGGGUCCCCUCUCCUCCCCUCCCAGGUCUCCCGAUUCCUGUUGGUGCAACCCCAGACUGCUGCACAGCGGAAGAGGCCUUGGCACACCCCUUCUUCCAGCAGUACUGGUGGAGGAAGUGCGGCACUUCAGCCCACGCGGGAAGUUCAAAGUGAUCGCCGUGACCGUGCUGGCUUCAGUGCGGAUCUACUACCAGUACCGCCAGGUGAAGCCGGUGACCUGGGAGAUCGUCAUCCGAGACCCACCGCUACUCCCUCCAGCUUCCGUGCCAGCUCAUCGAUGCCUAUGCUUUCCAAAUCUAUGGCCACUGGGUGAAGAAGGGGCAGCAGCAGAACUGGGCGGCCCUUUUCAAGAACACACCCAAGGCCGUGCUCCUCUCCCUGGCCAAGGAGGGCUACUGAGGGGCUGGCCAGUCUGGGAGGGCUGGGGGGCAGGUGGGGAGGGGAAGCCACGGAAAUAUAAGUCAAAGGGGUGAGGUGUGCAGGCCUCUGCAGAAGGAGCGCUUGGCCCUGGCCAGGAACCCCUGGAGCUGAGGCCACGAUCCCCUCUCAAAGGCUGUGCACAAGCGAAGCGGGUGUUCCCACCACACAGCAAUACCUGCAGGCUGGGACAGGCCCUGGGUGGGCAGAGAUCACAUGUGGCCCGAGAACCAGGAACCCCCUGCUCCUGCACUUCCUAGAUGAGCCACCAUCUCCAUUUCUCUCUAGGGGAGGCCCAGAGUUACUGACACUCAGGCCCUCUUCCCUUAGGGUCCCAGGGUGAGGAUGAAAGACACAGAAAUGUCUGAGAUACACAAUCGCAGGAGAUUUUAUUGACCUGAUGACAUCCAGUGACAGUGUGGGAGCAGGCUACUCUCCAGGGACAUGUUUCUGGAGGCAUAUGGAGAAGGGGGCCGAGGUGAGGUUGCUCACACCUGUAAUCUCAGCACUUUGGGAGGCUGAAGUGGGAGGAUCACUGGAGACCAGGAGUUUGAGACCAGCCUGGGCAACAUAGUGAGAUCCCAUCACUACAAAAAUUCAAAAAAUUAGCCAGGCAUGGUGGUGCACACUUGUAGUCCGAGCUACUUGGGAGGCUGAGGUGGGAGAAUUGCUUGAGCCCAGGAGCUCAAGGCUGCAGUGAGCCAUGAUCACCACUGCACUCUAGCCUGGGCAACAGAGCAAGACCCUGUCUCGAAAAAAAAAAAAGAAAAAAAAAUGGAAGGGGAAGCUUCUGAUAUUUGUCUUUCUGGAAUACUAUUUGCUUUGUGAUUCCCACAAUGCACUGCUUCACCCUAGUACAUCAGUAGGUUCUCCUAGACCCUUUUAGGACUGAACUGUGCUUUAAAUAGUUACAUGCCUGCCUGUUACACAGUGGAAACUAGUUUUCUUCAGAGGGACCCAAAACCACAGAUGAGGCCAUGAAGAAAGCAUUCUCCUUCCACAGCAACUGGCUGGGAAAACAAACACACAAGUGAUCCUCCUGCCUCAACCUCCCUACUAGCUGGGACUACAAGCGUGUGCUACCAUGAAGGGGUAAUUUUAAAAAAAAAUUUUAGUAGAGAUGUGGUCUAUGUUGCCCAGGAUGGUCUUGAACUCCUGGGCUCAAGCGAUCCUCCCACCUCAGCCUCCCAAAUUGUUGGGAUUACAGGCAUGAGCCACUGCGUCCAGCCCUUCAUCACAUAUCUAAAAACAAUCAUCAGAGGUAGAUGUAACAGGUGUUAUUAUUAUUUACUCCAUUUAACAGAUGAAAAACACUGAAGCAAACAGAAGUAAAAAAUUAGGCUUUUAAAAUGGAUUUUCGGCUGGGAAUGGUGGCUCACACCUGUAAUCCCAAUACUUCGGGAGGCCGAGGUGGAUGGAUCACCUGAGGUCAGGAGUUCAAGACCAGCCUGGCCAACAUGGCAAAACCCUGUCUCUACUAAAAAUACCAAAAAAUUAGCAGGGCAUGGUGGCACACACCUGUAAUCCCAGCUACUCGGGAGGCUGAGGCGGGAGAAUCUCUUGAACCUGGGAGGCAGAGGUUGCAGUGAGCUGAGAUCGUGCCAUUGCACUCCAGCCUGGGUGACAAGAGUGAAAUUCCAUCUCAAAAAAAAACAUAAAUAUAUAUAACCCUGAUAAAUAUGUACACCUAUUAUGUAGCCGCAAAAAUAAAAUAUCUAAAAAGAGAAUGUCAAACUGCUUUCACUAAUGCUGUGAUUACAUUUCUAACCUUAUAAACAUAUCCAUAUUUUCAGGGCUACUUUUGCUAAUCAUCAUAACAAAUGAAGUGUUAGUGGGUUUUGAGAGGAUGAAGGAUCACUAUACCUGACAAUUCUCUUUCACUUACAAUGCGUGUGAUGAAAU
ensembl:lincRNA